rnacentral:rRNA from 1 species
UGAGUCCAAGAAAUCAACCGAGAUUCCGGUAGUAGCGGCGAGCGAACCUGGAUUAGCCCUUAAGCACUCGGUGAAGUAGGUGAACAAGCUGGAAAGCUUGGCGAUACAGGGUGAUAGCCCCGUAACCGACGCUUCAUCGAGCGUGAAAUCGAGUAGGGCGGGACACGUGAUAUCCUGUCUGAAUAUGGGGGGACCAUCCUCCAAGGCUAAAUACUCCUGACUGACCGAUAGUGAACCAGUACCGUGAGGGAAAGGCGAAAAGAACCCCUGUGAGGGGAGUGAAAUAGAACCUGAAACCGUGUACGUACAAGCAGUAGGAGCACCUUCGUGGUGUGACUGCGUACCUUUUGUAUAAUGGGUCAGCGACUUAUAUUCAGUGGCAAGGUUAACCGUAUAGGGGAGCCGUAGCGAAAGCGAGUCUUAACUGGGCGCUCAGUCUCUGGAUAUAGACCCGAAACCGGGUGAUCUAGCCAUGGGCAGGUUGAAGGUUGAGUAACAUCAACUGGAGGACCGAACCGACUAAUGUUGAAAAAUUAGCGGAUGACUUGUGGCUAGGGGUGAAAGGCCAAUCAAACUCGGAGAUAGCUGGUUCUCCCCGAAAGCUAUUUAGGUAGCGCCUCGGACGAAUACUACUGGGGGUAGAGCACUGUUAAGGCUAGGGGGUCAUCCCGACUUACCAACCCUUUGCAAACUCCGAAUACCAGUAAGUACUAUCCGGGAGACACACGGCGGGUGCUAACGUCCGUCGUGGAGAGGGAAACAACCCAGACCGCCAGCUAAGGUCCCAAAGUAUUGCUAAGUGGGAAACGAUGUGGGAAGGCUCAGACAGCUAGGAUGUUGGCUUAGAAGCAGCCAUCAUUUAAAGAAAGCGUAAUAGCUCACUAGUCGAGUCGGCCUGCGCGGAAGAUGUAACGGGGCUAAGCAAUACACCGAAGCUGCGGCAAUAUCUUUUAGAUAUUGGGUAGGGGAGCGUUCUGUAAGCCGUUGAAGGUGAAUCGUAAGGUUUGCUGGAGGUAUCAGAAGUGCGAAUGCUGACAUGAGUAACGACAAAGGGGGUGAAAAACCUCCUCGCCGGAAGACCAAGGGUUCCUGUCCAACGUUAAUCGGGGCAGGGUGAGUCGACCCCUAAGGUGAGGCCGAAAGGCGUAAUCGAUGGGAAACGGGUUAAUAUUCCCGUACUUCUGACUAUUGCGAUGGGGGGACGGAGAAGGCUAGGUGGGCCAGGCGACGGUUGUCCUGGUUCAAGUGCGUAGGCUUGAGAGUUAGGUAAAUCCGGCUCUCUCUAAGGCUGAGACACGACGUCGAGCUGCUACGGCAGUGAAGUCAUUGAUGCCAUGCUUCCAGGAAAAGCCUCUAAGCUUCAGAUAGUCAGGAAUCGUACCCCAAACCGACACAGGUGGUCGGGUAGAGAAUACCAAGGCGCUUGAGAGAACUCGGGUGAAGGAACUAGGCAAAAUGGUACCGUAACUUCGGGAGAAGGUACGCUCUUGAUGGUGAAGUCCCUCGCGGAUGGAGCUGACGAGAGUCGCAGAUACCAGGUGGCUGCAACUGUUUAUUAAAAACACAGCACUGUGCAAAAUCGCAAGAUGACGUAUACGGUGUGACGCCUGCCCGGUGCCGGAAGGUUAAUUGAUGGGGUUAGCGCAAGCGAAGCUCUUGAUCGAAGCCCCGGUAAACGGCGGCCGUAACUAUAACGGUCCUAAGGUAGCGAAAUUCCUUGUCGGGUAAGUUCCGACCUGCACGAAUGGCGUAAUGAUGGCCACGCUGUCUCCACCCGAGACUCAGUGAAAUUGAAAUCGCUGUGAAGAUGCAGUGUACCCGCGGCUAGACGGAAAGACCCCGUGAACCUUUACUACAGCUUGGCACUGAACAUUGAACCUACAUGUGUAGGAUAGGUGGGAGGCUAUGAAGACGUGACGCCAGUUGCGUUGGAGCCGUCCUUGAAAUACCACCCUUGUAUGUUUGAUGUUCUAACUUAGACCCAUUAUCUGGGUUGAGGACAGUGCCUGGUGGGUAGUUUGACUGGGGCGGUCUCCUCCCAAAGAGUAACGGAGGAGCACGAAGGUGGGCUAAUCACGGUUGGACAUCGUGAGGUUAGUGCAAUGGCAUAAGCCCGCUUAACUGCGAGAAUGACGGUUCGAGCAGGUGCGAAAGCAGGUCAUAGUGAUCCGGUGGUUCUGUAUGGAAGGGCCAUCGCUCAACGGAUAAAAGGUACUCCGGGGAUAACAGGCUGAUACCGCCCAAGAGUUCAUAUCGACGGCGGUGUUUGGCACCUCGAUGUCGGCUCAUCACAUCCUGGGGCUGAAGUCGGUCCCAAGGGUAUGGCUGUUCGCCAUUUAAAGUGGUACGCGAGCUGGGUUUAGAACGUCGUGAGACAGUUCGGUCCCUAUCUGCCGUGGGCGUUGGAAGAUUGAAGGGGGCUGCUCCUAGUACGAGAGGACCGGAGUGGACGAACCUCUGGUGUUCGGGUUGUGUCGCCAGACGCAUUGCCCGGUAGCUAAGUUCGGAAUUGAUAAGCGCUGAAAGCAUCUAAGCGCGAAGCGAGCCCUGAGAUGAGUCUUCCCUGAUACUUUAAGUAUCCUAAAGGGUUGUUCGAGACUAGAACGUUGAUAGGCAGGGUGUGUAAGCGUUGUGAGGCGUUGAGCUAACCUGUACUAAUUGCCCGUGAGGCUUAACCA